AAUUUCGCUGAUGCUGCGGGGUUCCAGGCAAAGGGGACCUCCGCACCUCCGCCCUGGUCGGAUAAGAAGGAGCAGCUGAGAAGGAGCGGAUAGCUGAACGAAGACCCUUCCUCAACCAGGACAACCCAGGGGGCAGCCUGGUGGCGCUGGACUCGGCCAGACGCGAUGAAGCUCAAGGAGAGCCCUUUUCCACCAGGUCUAGAAAGAAGAAAAGCAAAAGAUACCUGACUACACGGACAACAGCUCCCAGCCUCACCACAGACGUCUUCACAGCCAGUGAAGCCCCCAGGCCUCCUUUUUCCCAUCACAUCGCUUCUUUGCAAUAAAGCUCAAAUUCAA